rnacentral:rRNA from 1 species
CCUACGGGUGGCAGCAGUGAGGAAUAUUGGUCAAUGGCCGUAAGGCUGAACCAGCCAAGUAGCGUGAGGGAAGACUGCCCUAUGGGUUGUAAACCUCUUUUAUACGGGGAUAAAGGUGUCCACGUGUGGAUGUUUGCAGGUCCCUCAUGAAUAAGGAUCGGCUAACUCUGUGCCAGCAGCCGCGGUAAUACGGAGGAUCCGAGCGUUAUCCGGAUUUAUUGGGUUUAAAGGGUGCGUAGGCGGCCUUUUAAGUCAGCUGUGAAAGUCUGUGGUUCAACCAUAGAAUUGCCGUUGAAACAGGGGGGCGUGAGUAUGGUUGAGGCAGGCGGAAUGCGUGGUGUAGCGGUGAAAUGCGUAGAUAUCACGCAGAACCCCGAUGGCGAAGGCAGCCUACCGAGCCAUGAAUGACGCUGAUGCACGAAAGCGUGGGGAUCAAACAGGAUUAGAUACCCUGGUAGUC